GCCGAGCCGCCGCCUAGCGCCGAGCCCACACCGUGCCGCCCAUACCACACCAUCUCUUGGCUCUCGCAGCUUCACUGCUACAGAAACUCAAUUUACAUUUGAGCACCAGGGGCAAGACAAUACUACUCACUGCCAGUCCAAAACAAUGGCAAUGCCAUAAGGGGCGAAUGUUUGAUGUCUUGUACGUAAUAUACUGUUACUUAAUGGUUUAGAAUGUCAUGACGUGAAGAGCUCUCAUAAAGAUAAUUAAUUUACUAAAGUAAAUGAAAUAUAAGUAUGAAUGCGAUGUAUUACAUAAUGUACUCAUUCAGAGUUGAGUUUCUGUAUUGAGUGUGCUGUGUCGCUACUGCCCGACAAUUGUACGAACGUGUCGGUAUGAGAGUGUGCUCUACUUACUAUCUAGGCGAUCCUUUAAGGUUUUAUAAUCGUCAAACUAGACUAUUAUAAAGUGUAUGCGAGUAUAUAUAUUUUUCAUCGAUUAUUAUUUAAUUUAUCGAUAGAGACGUAUUGUUGGAUAUUAAGAUUUGUUGUUUUGUGGACUCAUGAUUUGUCCCUGAAUUUCGAGUGCGAACGAUCGAAUUUAUUUUCCUAGCAUAUUUUUCGAUGUCAUGCAUAGUCAUACUUUUAAUACUUGAAUAUUUAAUUCUUACAUGCAAUGUGUUAAGUCUGAUUUUGUAAAAAUAAUUGACAUAGCGUUGUUCAGUCAUGGCUGAUAUACUCGUGAAAUAAAUUCGAUCCGAGUUGUAUUUUAAAUAAAAAUAAUUGUGCUAAAUCCACGGAUAUAGAAGUAACAUUGCGGACGCGACUUACUACUGUAAAUAUUCUGUAAAAUAAACUAAUAUUGUUACGAUCGUAAGUGAGUCGUGGUAAGUGUGGUUACGUUUCGUCGCGUGAGUCUUACGGGAGCUACGUUACGUCACAUUGUAUAUUGUUAAGCCUGUAUCUAUGUACACAACCUUUACGUAUGUACACAGAUCUUAUAAUAAUAACAUUUCGCACACAGUACCAUUUAAACAAAACAAUAGCAUAUUCUAAUAUUUCCUCUCCGCUAAUGUGACCUAACGCGGUCCCGUAACAGUGUCAAAAUAUACAUAAUUUAGUAUAUUACUAAAUAAUGUAAAUAUAACGUUAACAAACAUAUUUUUCAUCUAUUAAGUUCACCGUAUAUGAACGAAUUCAGUCUAUGUGUAAGUAUUCUAAUGGAUUUUUGAUUUUGUCAAUUUAUAUAGCUGUAUCAAGUCUGCGUAGAUUUACAUUUAUUUUAUAUAAUAUGCUAGUGAAUAUAUAAUAUCGUUUAUAUUUAGGAGUAUUUAUUUUACUACUGGCAGGUUGUAGGAGACUUUAUCGUUCACUAUCAUUCAUACUUUAUGUACAUGUUUUAUUACGAAUUUACAUUUAAUACUAGUCACUACGUGAAUUAUAAUAUUUUUUAGUUUAAAAAAAGUACAUGUAAAUAUAUACAUUUAAUCAAGCGAAAGUGGUGAUCAUUGUAAUUAAACAGUUAUUUUGCUAAGGAAUGUUAAUCGAGAGUGGGUGUGUGAAUGUGACAAUUUUGUACAACUGGCACGAACUAUAGGUACUGUACUUAGAACAUUAUAAUGUUUUAACUCUUAAAUUGCGCACAUAGUUUAGUUAUAUGAAUGUUUCCGUUUCGGGGCAGUUAAGUGGCCAACUCAUAAAGAUACUUGACCUAGUGACAAUUGUAAUGAGCACUUAUUACCUCUAUUUCUUGUUACCGGUUUAAAGCGGUGUAACCAUAGGCGUCAGAUUUUUUUAUAUGGGGAAAACGAAGAACUAUACUCUCUGAAAAAAUAAUUCAAACUUUAGGUGCCUACUAUUUGUUAGAGAGAUCAUAAAGCUGCGUAUUCACGAAUGGUCAGGUUUGUCGCUCAAAUUGACAGACUUUGUUACAUGUUAAGAGUCUCUGAUAAAGCAAGACAGUAACACUAUGUUUUGCGAUAAAUGAUGGGAGAUAUCGAUCUUGUAACGAAUAGGGACCUUUAUUUAUCUUCGUGAUAUAUCUUCAAUUUCAAAAGUUGGUAAAUCUCCGCUUUGAUUUUGUGAUAAGCUGUUGUUGCCCCAUUCAAUUAUGAUAUCGAAAACUAACGGGAUUCAAAUGAUCAAAUUGGAGUAAAUUCGUAAUAUACCUAUGCACAAAGUUUUUAUUUAAUAGCGCUUACAUUUUCAGCACAAAUUGUGAAAACAAGACAAUGGAAAAAAGUCUGAAAUCAUAAGAUAUUUUUUUAAUUAAAAUUAUUCUGUUAAGCACAAUUAUUUUUUCUGUGUAAAAUUACUAUUAUACUAGUUAUGUAGUCACUUGUUUACUUCUUAUGAAUUAAUUGUAAUAAAUUUAGUCUGUAACGUGUUGGUUCACUUUACUGUGACAUAUAUUUUGCUCAGAAGUCUCCAAUAAAUGUGCAAAAAGCAAUAAACACAUGAGAUGGUUGAAAUUGAACUAACGUGUGCAAAUCAUUGGAAGAAUCAAAAAUGUCUAAUUUGAUUUUGAAAAGUGAUUUUAUUUGUUAAAAUCACUCUUAUGAACGUCAUGAUCAAGUGAUUUUAAUACAAUAAAGAAUAUUUUUAUACACAAUUGAAUACUAUGAAUGGUUUAAAAAGAAUAUAAAUAUAAUAUUACAAAACUGUUUGAUCUUUCUCAUAACAUCAUUUCAAGCUUUGACACAGCUAUGAAAGAAUGCACAUUUUCUCAUCUAUCCACUCUUUUUGAAAAUAAACAUAACUUUCGUAGUCAGGAACAAAGAUAUGACCGCGUUACGUAAUCUUACGUAACGCAAUAUAAACACAACCAUUGUAGAAACGUUUACUUAAAGGGGACAUUUUUACAUCGUAUCUAUAAUUUGUAAUAUCGUGUUUGAAUGUGUGCGUGAAUAUCUCGAUUACUUUCUUUAAAAAAAACAGUGGACGUUAUCUUAAAGUGCCCUUGUGCCCGGCGGCCCGGCGGACUUUACUCAGAAUAAGACAAACUUACAUACAUAAUUGUACAUUGUGAACAUACACCUAAUUAUUACUUGUAACGUUAAGGAUGGUAAAGUAAUCUUAUUGUAAACUAGUAUUAAUCGAACAAGAAACCUUAUUAUCAUAAUA